GUGGCUUUAGCAGCAGAGACAGAGGAGGAAAAUGUAGAGAGGAGGGAGUGAAAGGAUGCCAGGUCCGCAGGGAGGCGAGUUUUCCUCCAUUUCCGCUCGGCUGCCCGGAGCCCUGUUAGCAUUUGUUUAGGCUCUGUUUAACUAUUGGAGGUUUUUUAAAUAUUAUUUAAUUUAACAGGAAUAUAGGACAUCUGUGGUGAUUUAGGAUUAUUGUAAGGAUUAAGAUAGAUUGAUUAAGGAAAUGUAAGGACUUUAGAGAUUGCCACAUAUAUACAUGUUUUUUCUAAAAUCAAUGAUUUUAGAUAGUCAAACAGUGAGACGCUUAGUGGCAUUUUGAGAGAUAGGAGAGAAAGGAAUUACUGUUUAACUUCUUCGAUAUAGGGGGCGCUCUUUUAAUUUUUGGAUAAAAAAACGUUCCCGUUUUAAACAAGAUAUUUUGUCACGAAAAGAUGCUCGACUAUGCAUAUAAUUGACAGCUUUGGAAAGAAAACCUUCUGACGUUUCUAAAACUGCAAAGAUAUUGUCUGUGAGUGCCACAGAACUAAUGCUACAGGCGAAACCAAGAUGAAAUUUCAUACAGGAAAUGCCCCAGAUUUUGAAUGCGCUGGGUUCCAAUGUCUCCUUAUAUGGCUGUGAAUGCGCCAGGAAUGAGCCUACACUUUCUGUCGUUUCCCCAAGGUGUCUGCAGCAUUUUGACGUAUUUGUAGGCAUAUCAUUAGAAGAUUGACCAUAAGAGACUAUAUUUACCAGGUGUCCGCUUGGUGUCCUCCGUCGAAAUUAUUGCGCAAUCUCCAGCUGCGUCCACUUUUCCAUUUGGUUCAGAAGAGAAAGGCAACUGCCACGAAUGAUUUAUCAUCGAAUAGAUAUGUGAAAAACACCUUGAGGAUUGAUUGUAAACAACGUUUGCCAUGUUUCUGUCGAUAUUAUGGAGUUCAUUUGGAAAAAAGUUUGGCGUUGUAAUGACUGAAUUUUCGUUGUUUUUUUUAGCCAAACGUGAUGAACAAAACGGAGCGAUUUCUCCUACACAAAUAAUCUUUUUGGAAAAACUGAACAUUUGCUAUCUAACUGAGAGUCUCCUCAUUGAAAAAAUCUGAAGUUCUUCAAAGUUAACCAAGGACUCCUGGUGACAGCUAGCUGAAAGAGCUACCCGGAUUCAUAUCGCACGGCGGGAGGGUAAGACACAAUGACACUGUCGAACAAUAAACAGUGUUCGAGAGGAGAACUGGAAUUAACACAAUUCUGGGGGCCAUCUCUUGAAUGAAGUAAUCCUCCCUGUCCUAUCACCCCUGUUUUUGUUCAUAGAAGUGAAGGUGUGUCUGGCUCUUGCUGGUGAUGUGUUCUCGGGGAGAGGGUGGGGCUUCACAUGGAAGCUGUUCAUCUGAGUUGUCUUAUCGUGGUUGUCAUAUUCCUGAUACAGCACGUCCUACUUGAGUAAUAAACAGUGUUCGAGAGGAGAACUGGAAUUAACACAAUUCUGGGGGCCAUCUCUCGAAUGAAGUAAUCCUCCCUGUCCUAUCACCCCUGUUUUUGUUCAUAGAAGUGAAGGUGUGUCUGGCUCUUGCUGGUGAUGUGUUCUCGGGGAGAGGGUGGGGCUUCACAUGGAAGCUGUUCAUCUGAGUUGUCUUAUCGUGGUUGUCAUAUUCCUGAUACAGCACGUCCUACUUGAGUAUGCGGAGAGGGGUAGUUUGACCCAUGGUUUAGAAGAUGAGGAUUUUGUUCCAAAACAAGCAUAAGAGAUCCCUAGAUCUGGGUAGACAGAAAGUUAGAGUAGAGGUUGGGAAGGAUCUCUCAAUGGGGUUUUAUGUAGACCAAAUGGGGUCUCUAACUACAUGGCAGUCUAGGACUCUGAGCCAUUAUGGCGUAUAUCGGUGCAGGUUCCCAUAUUGAUCGCGGACACAGGUCAUAGCUCACUUGGAGAGAGGGGGCUAUAUGAAUCCACUCACCCAGUAUGGAAGGAGGUGGAGUAUAGUGAAGGUGCAUAACCCUUUAAACAGAAAUGAAGGGGGAUCUAGGGUUGUGGUAUGAUGGAUAUGACCAGGUUUUGGUCGACACCCUAGUACGGUUCUGGGUAGAGGAGUUUAGGCCAGUAUGGUAAAGCUGUUCACAAAAGCAGGAAUGCCAGAUAAUGAUAGUUGCAUUGACUUGCACGAUUUACAGUGACCGGAGGAGAUUAUUACCGUUUGGCCCGGUACAGUACUCUUGGGAAAAGAUGUCUGGGCAAGGUUUUACCGACAGAUUGGACAGGAUUAUGCUUCCUUGUACAUUUGGAAUGCCUUUCACACUCAUUCAACACCGAGACAUGAAGUUUAGCCAAAUGGGAGAAAAGAGCUACUCCAUCUGGGUCUCUUGAUGACAAAGUAUACAUUGAUAACAUUGGGGUUCCACGGGGGGGGUGCCAGAUGAGUUCAAAAUCAGAUCCUAACAGGAUUAGAGUUAAGCAUUUCCGGGUGGUCUACUCUCAAUAAGAACGUGGACUGGAUUAAUUAUAUUUAUAAUAAUCAACAGCGCUUUAACAAUUAUACCAGAGAUGCUAUUAAAUGUUUUGCAGAACAGACUGAAGCAACCAGCCUGAUGGCUUGGCAGAAUAUAAUUGCAUUAGAUAUGUUAUUGGUUGAAAAGGGAGAAGUAUGCGUGAUUAUCGGGACCAUGUUUGUGCUUACAUCCCAAAUAACACAGCUCCGGACGAAUCAGUGACCGAAGCCUCAGCUGGUUUGACCACCCUGGCUCACGGUUUGGCAGACAACUCUGGGUGGAUACUUCUCUGACUAAUUGGUUUCAUAGUAUGUUCGGAAAAUGGAAAAAAUAUUAUGAUCACUGUAUUAUGGGCUGCAUUCACCUGUGUGACUGUUUUAGUUUUAUUGGGCUGUUGUCAAAUUCCCUGUGUACGAGGCCUUAUUUCCAGGACUCUGGAGAAAUCGACGACAAUAGAUGGUGAGGUACCAGUGGAUUCCAGGUUCUGACCCGUGGAGUGCUGAAUGUAUGUCUACAGAACAAGUGGACGAAUCUGGAUCCUUCAUCUGCGGGGAAUUUAUGUUUGAGGAGACCAUUUUUAUGUUUAGGGAGGCUAGGUUGUAUCCCGUUUCAAUAUUAGACUGUUUUUUUAUGGAGAUUGUAACGAAAAUCCUGAUAAGAAGAGUUAUGAUUCUGAUGUAGGUCUGAGAAACAGUUAUGGCGAAUACAAGUAUGGGGUUAUGUUUAGGUGAUGUUUUGAUGACAAGAAAUAUCUCUAAUAAAAAUAGAAGGCUUUUUAAUAUAACAAUAUAACUACAUGUGUGAUUGGAUGUAUAAUAUUUAAUCAAAGAGUGGAUAUGUUAAGGGAAUUUUUAUCAAUGAUGACUAAUUAUGUAUACAUUUCAAUCAGGCCUGACGAAUCAGAAUACUAUAAUGUUACUGUAUAUGUACUAAUCAGAAUACUAUUAUGUUAAUGUACAUGUAUGAAUUUUCUUUCUUGAUCCCAGUACUGAAUAUAAUGUGUGUGAAUGUGGUCAAGAGUUAGAACAAUGACAGGCUGUUCCUUGGUACAAAUGAAUCAGACUGGCUAGAAUGCUUAUCUACACGAGAAAACUUUGACUCGUAAAUUAUAUUAAAUUGGUAGGGAGACGGGUGUGGGAAGGCUUGAGAUACAGCCUUUGUACUGGAACAGAGAUGGCACGGGUUGGGGCUGGAACUAAGGACGUCAUUUUCAGUUUAUAACCUGUGGCAAAACUGUAUAGUAUUCAGUACUCUCGAGAAUAAACUCUGCUGUUUGAUUUUGA